rnacentral:rRNA from 1 species
AUUGAACGCUGGCGGCAGGCCUAACACAUGCAAGUCGAGCGGUAGCACAGAGAGCUUGCUCUCGGGUGACGAGCGGCGGACGGGUGAGUAAUGUCUGGGAAACUGCCUGAUGGAGGGGGAUAACUACUGGAAACGGUAGCUAAUACCGCAUAACGUCGCAAGGCCAAAGUGGGGGACCUUCGGGCCUCAUGCCAUCAGAUGUGCCCAGAUGGGAUUAGCUGGUAGGUGGGGUAACGGCUCACCUAGGCGACGAUCCCUAGCUGGUCUGAGAGGAUGACCAGCCACACUGGAACUGAGACACGGUCCAGACUCCUACGGGAGGCAGCAGUGGGGAAUAUUGCACAAUGGGCGCAAGCCUGAUGCAGCCGUGCCGCGUGUGUGAAGAAGGCCUUCGGGUUGUAAAGCACUUUCAGCGGGGAGGAAGGCAUUAAGGUUAAUAACCUUAGUGAUUGACGUUACCCGCAGAAGAAGCACCGGCUAACUCCGUGCCAGCCGCCGCCGUAA